rnacentral:rRNA from 1 species
CCGGCGCACGGGUGAGUAACACGUAUCCAACCUGCCGUCUACUCUUGGACAGCCUUCUGAAAGGAAGAUUAAUACAAGAUGGCAUCAUGAGUCCGCAUGUUCACAUGAUUAAAGGUAUUCCGGUAGACGAUGGGGAUGCGUUCCAUUAGGCAGUUGGUGGGGUAAUGGCCCACCAAGCCUUCGAUGGAUAGGGGUUCUGAGAGGAAGGUCCCCCACAUUGGGACUGAGACACGGCCCAAACUCCUACGGGAGGCAGCAUG